UACGAAGGGGGCUAGCGUUGCUCGGAAUCACUGGGCGUAAAGCGCACGUAGGCGGAAUCUUAAGUCAGGGGUGAAAUCCUGGAGCUCAACUCCAGAACUGCCUUUGAUACUGGGAGUCUUGAGUCCGGAAGAGGCAAGUGGAAUUCCCGGUGUAGCGGUGAAAUGCGCAGAUAUCGGGAGGAACACCAAUGGCGAAGGCAGCUUGCUGGGACGGUACUGACGCUGAGGCGCGAAAGCGUGGGGAGCAAACAGG
rnacentral:rRNA from 1 species